rnacentral:lncRNA from 1 species
GGGAUACAAGCAUGGGGCUCCAUCUUCCUAUUUUGCAUUUUUCCUAUAAUCCAAAACCCGAUUGAUUUAUCAAUUUCUGACAAAUCAAACCACUCAGAAGGUAUAGAUCCUCCCCGAACCCCUUAGAAGAGGAAAACAAAACUCCAGAAAUCACUCGGAAUCGGAACCCAUGGAACCAAACUAUAUACUUCGUAAAAUCCUACAGCCAAAUCACACGUCAAUUCCAUUAAAGUCAACAGUAAUGACGAAUCCAAAUACGCCCCAAUAACAUUGGUUCGAUUAGAGCGAACCGAAUUCGCAACGAACGGGAUAAAAAAAGCGACAGGGAAGACCAAAAAAAAAACCGAAUCACGCCAAUCUGACCACAAUAUGCGUAAUGUAAAAAACAGAGAGGCGAAGGGGCUGUACCUCCGAACGAUUUCUUGGCACGGAGCGGUGCGACGGGCUUGGACCCGCGAGCCCGCACGGCAACCGCAGCUCCCGCCGGAUCAGCGACUCUCAGGCUCCCGAUGGGCGACUGUAGGCCGCCCCGGCGCCGUCCGGAGCCGAAGCCCGCGGCAACCGCAGCUCCCGCCGGAUCAGCGACUCUCAGGCUCCCGAUGGGCGACUGUAGGCCGCCCCGGCGCCGUCCGGAGCCGAAGCCCGCGGCCCGCGUCUGCAGCGCCAGGCCCGCCUCCAUCCUCUGCUGCUGCUGCUGCUGUGCGGGGAGAGGGGACGCGGCGACCAGUCGGCUACGGCUC